rnacentral:rRNA from 1 species
ACAGGGAUUGCCUCAGUAACGGCGAGUGAAGCGGCAAGAGCUCAAAUUUGAAAGCUGGCUCCUUCGGGGUCCGCAUUGUAAUUUGCAGAGGAUGCUUCGGGAGCGGCCCCCAUCUAAGUGCCCUGGAACGGGCCGUCAUAGAGGGUGAAAAUCCCGUCUGGGAUGGGGUGUCCGCGCCCGUGUGAAGCUCCUUCGACGAGUCGAGUUGUUUGGGAAUGCAGCUCUAAAUGGGUGGUAAAUUUCAUCUAAAGCUAAAUAUUGGCCGGAGACCGAUAGCGCACAAGUAGAGUGAUCGAAAGAUGAAAAGCACUUUGAAAAGAGAGUCAAACAGCACGUGAAAUUGUUGAAAGGGAAGCGCUUGCGACCAGACUCGCCCACGGGGUUCAGCCGGCAUACGUGCCGGUGUACUUCCCCGCGGGCGGGCCAGCGUCGGUUUGGGCGGCCGGUCAAAGGCCCUCGGAAUGUAACGCCCCCCGGGGCGUCUUAUAGCCGAGGGUGCCAUGCGGCCAGCCCAGACCGAGGAACGCGCUUCGGCUCGGACGCUGGCAUAAUGGUCGUAAGCGACCCGUCUUGAAACACGGACCAAGGAGUCUAACAUCUACGCGAGUGUUCGGGUGUCAACCCCGUGCGCGCAGUGA